rnacentral:rRNA from 1 species
UACGUAGGGUCCGAGCGUUGUCCGGAUUUAUUGGGCGUAAAGAGCUCGUAGGCGGUUCGCUAAGUCGGAGGUGAAAGCCCGGGGCUCAACUCCGGAAUUGCCUUUAAGACUGCAUCGCUAGAAUUGUGGAGAGGUAAGUGGAAUUCCGAGUGUAGAGGUGAAAUUCGUAGAUAUUCGGAAGAACACCAGUGGCGAAGGCGACUUACUGGACACGUAUUGACGCUGAGGUGCGAAAGCGUGGGGAGCAAACAGG